CACGUAGGGCGCGAGCGUUGUCCGGAAUUAUUGGGCGUAAAGAGCUCGUAGGCGGCCUGUUGCGUCCGCUGUGAAAGCCCGGGGCUUAACCCCGGGUCGGCAGUGGAUACGGGCAGGCUAGAGGUAGGUAGGGGAGAAUGGAAUUCCCGGUGUAGCGGUGAAAUGCGUAGAUAUCCGGAGGAAUACCAAAGGCGAAGGCAGUGUUCUGGGUGGUACCUGACGCUCAGGGGCGAAAGCUAGGGGAGCGAACGGG
rnacentral:rRNA from 1 species